CAGUGCUGUGAUGGAUGUAUAUAUGUGGUGCAUUGGAAUACAAGGAGAAGUUACUCGUUAAGAGCUUAAAGUAUAAAAGCUUUACAGUGUUAACACUUGAAGAACUGCCAUACAGUUUAUUUAUUUAUUUAAAUUUGUUUAAUUGUGCAAAAAUGCACAUAGAAUAAAAUUUACCAUUUUAACAUGUAUAGCUUAGUAAAGUACCUUCAUGUUGUCUUGCAGUGAAUCUCUAGAACUCUUCAUUUUGCAAAACGGUAACUCUGUAUCCAUUAAAUAACUGCCCAUUCCUUUUUCCUCCCAGACCCUGGUGACCACUCUUCUCCUUUCUGUCUCUGUCAAUCUAGGUGUCUCAUAUAAAGACAGUGCUGUCUUUGUCUUUUUGUGACUGGCUUAUUUUAUUUAGCAUAGUGUCUGUGUAGGUCAAUCCAUGUUGUAGCAUUAGUUAGAAUUUCCUUCUUUUUAAAGCCUGAAUAAAACUCCAUUAUGUAUAUAUACUACAUUUUGCUUAUCCAUUCCUCUGUUGAUAGACAUAUGGGUCGUUUCCACCUCUUGGCUAUUGUGAAUAGUGCUGCCAUGAACAUGGGUGUACAAAUACCUCUUUGUGACCCUAAAGUGGAAUUGCUGGAUCAUAUGGUGACAUCGCAGCUAUUUAAACCUGUUCAUUAGAAAGAAAUCCUUUUAUUAUUUUCUUUCUUGGGUCCCAUGAAUUUAUUAUUAUUAUUACUUAAAUUGUAAUUUAUUAUUACUUAUAUGUAAGUUGUUAAUGUACUUUAUCUCCAUCUUAAUUAAAUAAAGGUGCAUGUAACUGCCAGAGGAGUUCUAGUCACUGUUACCACACUGUAUUGAUCCACAUGAGCAUUUCAUCCACUUCCUCACUAACAUUUGAUGUACUCCCAUGAACUCAUCACCACAAUCAAGAUUUGAACAUACUCAUCCCCCAGAGUUUCCUUGUGCACCUUUGUUGUUUCAUUGGUGGUUUCAGGUAGGAGAGUAAAUCUGGUCAUUGUUAUUCUAUCUUGGGUGGAAGUGUAAUGUGCAUUACUUUUAAUUCUGUCAUUUAUAUAGCCCAUCUUGCUUGUUACUGUUCUCUAUUAGAAUAAUCUUUCUUGCUUAUAUGGCAAGCUGGCUGCAUUAGGCAUCUUCAUAAAAUUGUUCUACCAGCUAUGAGACUGGUACAAAGCCAUGUGUACCAUCAGUAAAUGGUUUGCUUCUUUAAGAGAUUGGACAGGAGUGCCUGGGUGACUCAGUUGUUAAGCGGCUGCCUCUUGGUUUUAGCUGAGGUCGUGAUCUCAUGGUUUGUGAGAUCAAGCCCUGCGUCAGACUCUGCUCUGAAAAUAUGAAGUAUGCUUGGGAUUCUCUCUCUCUCCUUCUUUCUCUACCCCUCCCCUGCUUGCACCCCACCCUCCCCACACUCUCUCUCUCUCUCAAAAUAAAUAAAUAAACUUAAAAAAGAGAGAGAUUGGAUAAAAUAUGGCCCUAAUUUUUAAAAAAUAUGAAAUUUAAACUAUAGAAUUUAUGCUUUAAAAUCUAUUUUGUUUCGGGGUGCCUAGGUGGCUCAGUUCGUUAAGCAUCCAACUUUGGCUCAGGUCAUGAUCUCAUGGUUCAUGAGUUCAAGCCCCGAGUCAAGCUCUGUGCUGACAGCUCAGAGCCUGGAGCCUGCUUCAGAUUCUAUGUCUCCCUAUCUCUCUCUCUGCCUCUCCUACCCCUCUCUUUUUCUUUCUCUCUCAAAAAUAAAUAAACAUUAAAACAAUUCUUUUAAAAUCUAUUUUGUUUCUUUUGCGUGGCAUUUUUUUUCCAGGCUUUUAUUGUCAGCUAUUGUGUACUCUUAUGUUUAAGGUGUUUAUCUUGUAAAUAGCAGAUAGCUGUCCUCUUAUUUUUGUAAUUUUUUAAAAAUUUUAUUUUAGAGAGAGAGAGCAUGGGAGAGGGGCAGAGGGAGAGAGAAAGAGAAUCUUAAGCAGGAUCCAUACUCACCAUGGAGCCCGACGUGGGGCUCAAUCCCACGACCCUGGGAUCAUGACCUGAGCCGAAAUCAAGAGUUGGACUCUCAACCAACUGAGUCACCCAGGCGCCCUUCUCUUAUUUUAAAAAUUCAGUCUCAUUUUCUAUCUCUCUGUGAUUACUGAUUUACCCUGAUUACUGAUACAUUUUUAUUUAUUUCCACCCUUUUUAAUGCUUUUUAUUCUAUAUUCUCCUGUAUUUCUUGCCUUCUUUUGGCCGUGAUUGGUUUUUUUAAAUUCCUUUCUCCUCUCUGCCAGAUUGGAAGCUACUGGUUUGUUCUAGUUCUUUUUUACUGGUGCUUACUUAAACAUUUUUUGAAUACAUGUUUGACUUAAAAUACAAACUUUUCUUCUCCUUUUGGAUAAUUCAAAUAAGCUACUUUAAGUUUGUAUAUGCUCCUCCUAAGUUACAUGCUAUUGUUAUUUAGUAUGUAUUAGUCUUUGAUGCAUAACAAAUUUCCACAAAUGUAGUGGUUUAAAGCAACACAAAUUUAUAAUCUCACAUUUUCUAUAGGGUAGAAGUGUGGGCCUGACUUGGCUCUUUGCUGAGUCUUACAAGGCUGCAAUCAGGGUAUUGGCUAGGGCUGUGGUCUCAUCUGAAGCUUGAAUAGAGAGGACUUCAUUAGCAGAAUUUGGUUCCCUGUGGUUGUAGAAUUGAGGCUUCAGUUUCUUGCUGGCUUUUGGUUGGAGGAUACUCUUCGCUCCUGGAGGUUGCCCUCAGUUCCUUGCUAUAUGGAACCUCUAAAAUAGGCGAAAUAAAAUAAAAUAGGUGACUUAACAAUGUUGUGGCUUGCUUCUUCAAUGCCAGCUCACUAUGGAACAACUUUCUUACUGUUUUUCUGUGCUAGUGGGUGGUUACUUUUCUGUUUCACUUAACUACUGAGGAGGUAGUCCCUCAUGCAUCUCAUAUAGAUGAUCUCAGAUCCAGUUCCCAUCCUCCCAUGGUCCAGUGCCUCAUUUCUUAUUCCUAUGUGAGCGCUGAAACUCUACCUCCUACGGUAAUGAGAAAGGCAAUUCACUGCCAUACCUGUUUCUGUCUGUAGGACAGUCAUAACCAGGUAUCAUAUUAAUUUUCACAUUCUUCUCAAUUUUUCCCUCUGGGAAUUACCUUUAGUCUUUUGGGAGUUGAGCUGUGCAUUGAAAAAUAUAUUAUUAAACUUUAUCUAGCAUAUCUAGGUAUUUGUAAUGAGAGGAUUUUUGGGUUAUCUGCCAUAUUGCUCAAUAGCUAUGUCUUCAUUUUCUUUUAGCUAAAGAUUUAUACAUUUCAAAACUGGAAACAGUAUUAACUAUAUAUACAUAUAAAAUAUGUAUACUUACAGAUGUAUAAGAUAAGAGUUUCUGAUAAUUAGUUUUGCCCAUGUGGAAUGUAGAAUUGAGAAGUAUAAUGGAGAAAGACUUUCAUAAUCCGGCCUUGAUGACUUUUCUGAUGUAAUCUCUUGCCUCUCUGAACACUUGCACUUUAUACUUCAGCAGUAUAAUUCAGCUUUUAUUUCCUCCAACACACACUGCAGCUUCAUAGUUUCCUGUGUUUGCAUACAUUAUUCUUUCUGUCCAGAACGUCCUGUUUAUCUCUCUCAUUUCUCUUUACUUGGUUAAUUCAGCCUUUUUUUCUUUACAUUCAUUUUUUUCUCUUAAGCAUUUUUAAUUAUUAUAUUUUUCAUUUUUAAAGGUUCUGUUGUUUCCUUUUCACAUCUGCCUGACAACUUUUGAUAAUUUUUUUCUUUGGUUAUUUUUUAUUGCUUUCUUUUAUUUCUUUAAACAUCAAACAUAUUUAAUGUCCUAUAUCCUUAAAUUUCAGUGUCUUUCAUCUUUGCUUGUCUGUUCUGUUGCUUGUUGUUUCACUGUUCUUCCUUUAUGGUUGCAUGUUUCCUUAUGUUUUCUUGUGAUUUUUUUUUUUUUCCUUUGAGGGAGAGUGCAAGUGAGCGAGGGGCAGAGAGAGAGAGACAGAGAGAGAGAGGGAGAGAGAGAGAAAAAGAGAAAGAGAAGCAGGGCUCACCCAGGGCUCGUGUUUUACCUGAAGCGUGGCCCAUGUUCACCUGGAGCAGGGCAUGAGCUCACCCAAAAUGGGGCUUAUGCUCACCUGAAGCGGGCUCGUGCUCACCCAAUAUGGGACUCGAACUUACAAACUGUGAGAACUCAUGAACUGAGCUGAAGUCAGGUGCUUAACGACUGAGCCACCCAGGUGCCCUGUGUUCUUGUGACUUUUGACCAUGAGUUCAUUUUUUUGCAGACUUGGGAAAUCUUUGAGGCCAUGUUAGAUUGUAAAGUCUAUGAAAGGAGGGCCCUUGUUCAUUGCUGUAUCAUAGGGCUUCUUACAAUGUUUACUACAUGAGUAUUUCACUAAAUAUUUAUUGAAUGAAUGAUGUGUGUACAUUUCCCAUAGUAUUGUAAUUAUUUAUAUAUAUGCCUAUAUUC